rnacentral:rRNA from 1 species
AAAGCUUGCUUUUAAAGUUAGCGGCGGACGGGUGAGUAACRCGUGGGCAACCUGCCUGUAAGACUGGGAUAACUUCGGGAAACCGGAGCUAAUACCGGAUAAUCCUUUUCUACACRUGUARAAAAGCUGAAAGACGGUUUACGCUGUCMCUUACMGAUGGGCCCGCGGCGCAUUAGCUASUUGGWGAGGUAACGGCUCACCAAGGCAACGAUGCSUAGCCGACCUGAGAGGGUGAUCGGCCACACUGGGACUGAGACACGGCCCAGACUCCUACGGGAGGCAGCAGUAGGGAAUCUUCCGCAAUGGACRAAAGUCUGACGGAGCAACGCCSCGUGAGUGAUGAAGGUUUUCGGAUCGUAAAACUCUGUUGUUAGGGAAGAACAAGUACAAGAGUAACUGCUUGUACCUUGACGGUACCUAACCAKAAAGCCMCGGCUAACUACSUGCCARCGGCCGCGGUAAUACGUAGGUGGCAAGCGUUGUCCGGAAUUAUUGGGCGUAAAGCGCGCGCAGGCGGUCCUUUAAGUCUGAUGUGAAAGCCCACGGCUCAWCCGUGGAGGGUCAUUGGAAACUGGGGGAC